GGGCCCGCACAAGCGGUGGAGCAUGUGGUUUAAUUCGAUGAUACGCGAGGAACCUUACCAGGGCUUAAAUGUAAGUUGCAUGGAUCAGAGAUGCAUUCCUUUCUGCGACCAUCUACAAGGUGCUGCAUGGUUGUCGUCAGCUCGUGCCGUGAGGUGUCAGGUUAAGUCCUAUAACGAGCGCAACCCCUAUCGUUAGUUGCCAGCAAGUAAAGUUGGGUACUCUAGCGAGACUGCCGGUGCAAACCGAGAGGAAGGUGGGGAUGACGUCAAAUCAUCACGGCCCUUACGUCCUGGCUACACACGUGCUACAAUGGCCGGUACAGAGAGCAGCCACCACGCGAGUGGGAG
rnacentral:rRNA from 1 species